rnacentral:tRNA from 1 species
GCCCCUGUAGCCCAACGGCAGAGGCAACCCGCUUAAACCGGGUCCAGUGAGAGUUCAAAUCUCUCCGGGGGCA